UAGGCUGCUGCGACUCAUUGUGGACCAC
rnacentral:piRNA from 1 species